rnacentral:rRNA from 1 species
CUCACCAGGUCAGGACACGGUAAGGAUUGACGGACUGAAGGAUCUUUCUCGAUUCCGUGGAAAGUGGUGCAUGGCCGUUUUUGGUUGGUGGAUCGAUCCGUCUGGUUAAUUCCGUUAACGAACGAGACCUCGGCACUCCGAAUAGCGCGGCGGACGUCGCGGCCUCCGGGCCGUCUUCCGCGCGAGCUUCUUAGAGGGACCGUCCCCCGCCGGGGAAGGAGGUUCGAGGCAACGACAGGUCUGUGAUGCCCUUAGAUGUUCUGGGCCGCACGCGCAUUACACUGACGCGUCCAACGGGCGACUCCCGGCCCGAAGGGGUCGGGGAAUCCGCAAGGCGCGUCGUGAUGGGGAUUGAACGUUGCAAUUGUUGUUCACGAACGAGGAAUUCCUAGUAGGCGCGGGUCAUCAACCCGCGCCGAUUACGUCCCUG